rnacentral:rRNA from 1 species
UACGUAGGGUGCGAGCGUUAAUCGGAAUUACUGGGCGUAAAGUGUGCGCAGGUGGCCGCGCAUGUCGAGUGUGAAAUCCCCGGGCUUAACUUGGGAAUUGCGCUCGAAACUACGUGGCUCGAGUGUGGCAGAGGAAGGUGGAAUUCCACGUGUAGCGGUGAAAUGCGUAGAGAUGUGGAGGAACACCGAUGGCGAAGGACAGCCCUCC